AGCAUGUUGUAAAAACGUGCCAUAUGAUGAAAUAAUUUAAAGGAGGCCGUGAAAAACACUCCAGAAAGGUUUUCUUUGAAAAAAAAUCAUCAUGAAUUUUGGCGCAAAAAAAACGCCAUAGUAUACUAUGUCGAAAAAAAAUGCGAUUUUUCAACAUGUUGUAAAAACGUGCCAUAUGAUGAAAUAAUGUAAAGGAGGCCGUGAAAAACACUCCAGAAAGGUUUUCUUUGAAAAAAAAAACAUGAUUUUUGGCGCAAAAAAAAGGCCAUAGUAUGCUAUGUCGAAAAAUGUCAUUUUUCAACACUAAAUCUUAUUGAAAAACUCUAAGGUACAUUAAAAAAAAAAGUCCAGUAGAUGUCACUCUGCUUUGAAAUAGCAUGCAGAGCAAGUUAGUCUGCUCACAGGAAGUUAGCAUGAGCAAAAUCACUCUUCACAUGAGGCGUCUGUUUUUUGUGAUUUUCAAAGGUAAAGUAAUACUUUUGACACAUUAUGGUGCCUAAGGAGUUGCUGAACAAAAAUGUGUCAUUUGAAAUGUAAAAAAAAAGAUUUAAAAGGGUAAAAUAAUUUUUCUCAACCGUUUGGUAGAGGUCAGUAUUUUAAAAAUCGCUGGGUCACUUCAUAAUAAAACCAUUGAUUGUUGUUAUUAGUGCCCCAAAGAGAUAAGAAAGAUAAAGAAAUAUUUUUUCAUUGCCUUUUUCUUGGUGAGGAUGUUUAAGGGUUAACUUAACAUCUGUAAACAAAACAAAAACGUAUCAACAAAGUUUUCUGUUAGAGUUUGUGUUCUUGUAAGUUUAACUCCAAGAUUUUAAAUACUUUCAUUUACUGCAAAUGAAUAUCUACUCCAAAUGUCUCACUAAUAAUCAUUAUCAGCCUUAAAAACCCACAAAACACCCCUCUAUACUUGACCACACUUAGUACAGUCUGGUUCCCCCUUCUAUAAAUCUGCUUGGAAUCGUCCACUUCCUGUUUGUCAAAGUGGCCUUCUACCUGGACAGGUUUUGUUGGAGCUCAUGCAACAAACAUUUUGGGUAACUGCACUUUAAUAUGGAUGGAUGACACUGAAUUAGAGUCUGUUUUAAUGAGACUGAGGACUAAGAUGUGUAGCUCUGUCAUUAAGUAUGAAAUUAUUUCUCAGAAUUCACAGAGAAAAGUCUGAAAUGUUUGCUAGGUUAGCAUCCCACAUGUUCUUUGGCUCAGCUAAAGCUAACUCUCUCCAACUUCUGGAUCUCUUGAGUUGCUUGUUGUUAAAAUAUGUUGCUAAAGGUGCUGAAGCUCAGAAAGUCUGAGAUGUUUGUUCAAAAUAAGCUCAUUCUCAAGUCUUAUCUGAACUGUCCUCUUUUGUUUGAACUUUCCCUAAACUUAGGAGUUAAUGACAGAGCAGCACAUCCAGACUCAGUCUCAUUUAUGUAGAGAUUAAACUUCAGUGUCAUUCAUUGAUGUUAAAGUGCAGUUUUUCAAAUGUUUGUUGCACAUGCUCCCGACCAAACCAGUUCAGGUGGAAGACGAUGUGAAGAGAAAGCUCCAGAGGAUGAAUAUCACACAUUUACGUUGGAAAUAAAUGUCCUUUAAUUAGACAUUGUCAUGCAAAAGUUGGAUUUCCCUUUAAUGAUGUUCAAAUCUUUGUUGAGUGUUUUGAUGAUGUUGGUUUCUAAAUGUUUUCUGACACUCGGCCCCAAAGAUUAAAACCUUCUAUGGCUCACAAGCUGCAACAAUUCACACAUUCUCAACUAUCUUUCUGACUAAACUAAGAUAAAAAAGUGAAAAACUGCCUGAUUCCUGCAUCAUGAAUGUAAAUCUUUUUGGGUUUUUAUGACAGUAAACUGAAUAUAUUUGGGUUGUGGACAAAACAAAACGUUUGUCAUCUUUGGGAAACACUGAUCAAUGUUUUCCACCAUUUUUUGACAUUUUAUAAACCAAAACAAGAAAUGAAUUACUGGAGAAAACAACAGAUUAAUCGACAAAGAAAAUGUAUUUUCCAACAUAUAAGGCUGAAUUACUCCAACAUUACAAGAUACAUACAGUUUUAAAACAUGACAAAGUAAAAGAGUUUUAUUUUC